ACGUUCAUCAGAUCCAAUCUAUGUUCUGACCGGCUCAAGUAGCUUUAUGCUAAUUUUAACUGAAAGGGGUUUCUUAAAAAUGCUACAAUUACAAGUAUUGUGCUUGGGUCCAACAAGGACAGAGAAAAGGUCCCUAAAAAGGGUGAAUUCCUAAGUAACAGCUGGUACCGUUCAUCCAAUUUCAGGAAAUCACGGUACCCAUCUCAUCUUGUGGUUCCAUGUCUCCACAAUAAUAGACCAGGGUUUCUUGGAUGUUUUGUUUUUCUGUUAGUUGUAUGUAAGGAACAGAAUGGGCCUAUGUUGAAAUAACUGGCCUCAAUUUGGGCGUGAGCCACACCCUUCUCGCCCUGCCCAAGGGUCGGCUCUGAUGAGAUGAAAACUUGAUCUCAAGAUAAAAAAUAAAAAAUGAUGAGAUGGAAACCGAAAUCACUUGACAAAGGUUUCUUUUCCGUCAGAACCAGCCGUCUUUCUACCUCGGAACUCAUGAAAACUUAGCAUACCCACCUCGUUGGAGGACGGGCCAUGGCAUGGCAUGGCACCACGAGUUCAGAUAAUUUGCUUGCACUGCAGCACGAUGGUAUCCCAGGCUCUCAGUCCCAAAAUUUCUUCUGCGUCAUUAUAUUCCAGGUUCUCAACAUGCAGCUAUUCCAUGCUAUGCGCCUAUGCUGUCCUGCGCCUAGCUGACUAGUAGUUGCUCACAGGUCACACAGCACAGUUGGUAUGGGGCUAGGAAGCCAAGCCCGGCCACGAAAUUUUGCCCACUCUGUUCUUAACAACACUGGCUGCCACCUGUAACAGUCAAACAUCACAUAGCCGUUAGUAAAAGCUUGACCAAGUCCUUGUUCAUACUCCCUGUCCCAAACUAAAUGUCUCGAGCUUAGUACAACUUUGUACUAAAGGUAGUACAAACUUGAGACACUUAUUUUGGGACGGAGGGAGUAGAAGAUAUGAGCUCAAUGUAAACAUGGAUCAACUGGGGGGUAUUCAGCAACGCUGCCGCUCUUUUCCAAAAGCAAUGCAGCUGAAGAGAUGGUAUAACCCGCUCCAGUACAGAGUUAGAGCUAGUCAAUCUACAGUAAUAUAUUGAUCGGUAUAGCAAAAAAGUGCAGCACACUGACAAACAGCAAGAUCAAAACCUGAUCUAUCCUUCAGCUGGCUCCAGCCAUCAAAGCUUGGUAAUAUAAGACUUCAGAAAAAAGGGCAUAUCCCAGUUAGUAACGAUUUCAGCUACACUGAAGUGCUAUGUGUGACGCAUUUUCGUUGUCAGUCAAUUUGUUUACUCUAGCAUGUGAUAGUUAAUCCAUUACCCGGUGUUCCUAGUUUAAUAUCAUCUGAUCAGCAAACUAGCUACGGUUAGCAGGACAGUUUUUUCAGAGGUGGACAGCUUUGAAUAGCAGCCAAGCAAUCACAUUUGUUCAGUAUCGCCAUAGUGUAUACAAGCAUAUCUGCUCAUUGGUGUUUCUUGUUUUUUGUAGCGUACCAAUAACGCAGGAAGGAAUGCAGAUGUUCUGUGGAAAAUAAGUGCAUCUGGCAUUCACCUCUUCUUUUUUAAACCGGAA
rnacentral:lncRNA from 1 species